AAAUUGAAGAGUUUGAUCAUGGCUCAGAUUGAACGCUGGCGGCAGGCCUAACACAUGCAAGUCGAACGGUAACAGGAAGAAGCUUGCUGCUUUGCUGACGAGUGGCGGACGGGUGAGUAAUGUCUGGGAAACUGCCUGAUGGAGGGGGAUAACUACUGGAAACGGUAGCUAAUACCGCAUAAUGUCGCAAGACCAAAGAGGGGGACCUUCGGGCCUCUUGCCAUCGGAUGUGCCCAGAUGGGAUUAGCUUGUUGGUGGGGUAACGGCUCACCAAGGCGACGAUCCCUAGCUGGUCUGAGAGGAUGACCAGCCACACUGGAACUGAGACACGGUCCAGACUCCUACGGGAGGCAGCAGUGGGGAAUAUUGCACAAUGGGCGCAAGCCUGAUGCAGCCAUGCCGCGUGUAUGAAGAAGGCCUUCGGGUUGUAAAGUACUUUCAGCGGGGAGGAAGGGAGUAAAGUUAAUACCUUUGCUCAUUGACGUUACCCGCAGAAGAAGCACCGGCUAACUCCGUGCCAGCAGCCGCGGUAAUACGGAGGGUGCAAGCGUUAAUCGGAAUUACUGGGCGUAAAGCGCACGCAGGCGGUUUGUUAAGUCAGAUGUGAAAUCCCCGGGCUCAACCUGGGAACUGCAUCUGAUACUGGCAAGCUUGAGUCUCGUAGAGGGGGGUAGAAUUCCAGGUGUAGCGGUGAAAUGCGUAGAGAUCUGGAGGAAUACCGGUGGCGAAGGCGGCCCCCUGGACGAAGACUGACGCUCAGGUGCGAAAGCGUGGGGAGCAAACAGGAUUAGAUACCCUGGUAGUCCACGCCGUAAACGAUGUCGACUUGGAGGUUGUGCCCUUGAGGCGUGGCUUCCGGAGCUAACGCGUUAAGUCGACCGCCUGGGGAGUACGGCCGCAAGGUUAAAACUCAAAUGAAUUGACGGGGGCCCGCACAAGCGGUGGAGCAUGUGGUUUAAUUCGAUGCAACGCGAAGAACCUUACCUGGUCUUGACAUCCACGGAAGUUUUCAGAGAUGAGAAUGUGCCUUCGGGAACCGUGAGACAGGUGCUGCAUGGCUGUCGUCAGCUCGUGUUGUGAAAUGUUGGGUUAAGUCCCGCAACGAGCGCAACCCUUAUCCUUUGUUGCCAGCGGUCCGGCCGGGAACUCAAAGGAGACUGCCAGUGAUAAACUGGAGGAAGGUGGGGAUGACGUCAAGUCAUCAUGGCCCUUACGACCAGGGCUACACACGUGCUACAAUGGCGCAUACAAAGAGAAGCGACCUCGCGAGAGCAAGCGGACCUCAUAAAGUGCGUCGUAGUCCGGAUUGGAGUCUGCAACUCGACUCCAUGAAGUCGGAAUCGCUAGUAAUCGUGGAUCAGAAUGCCACGGUGAAUACGUUCCCGGGCCUUGUACACACCGCCCGUCACACCAUGGGAGUGGGUUGCAAAAGAAGUAGGUAGCUUAACCUUCGGGAGGGCGCUUACCACUUUGUGAUUCAUGACUGGGGUGAAGUCGUAACAAGGUAACCGUAGGGGAACCUGCGGUUGGAUCACCUCCUUACCUUAAAGAAGC
rnacentral:rRNA from 1 species